AUGCCGUACAUACCAGCUGACGUCACAAACCUACAGGCCAAGUACCGUAGAGAGAGCAAGUUGGCAGACAUAGAGGCCACAAUGGCCUACUUCGAUGAGAAAAUGAAGGAAGAUCCAGAUUUCUUCUACAGGAUAAGGUUGGACGAUGAGGACCGUGUCAGGAACAUGUAUUGGGUGGAUGGUGCUGCAAGGAGAGCCUACAAACAUUUUCGAGAUUGCAUUUCAUUCGACGCGACGUACCUCACCAAUAUGUACAAGAUGCCAUGUGCUCCAUUCAUAGGAAUAAAUAACCACAAUCAGUCGUUGCAGUUCGGCUGCGGGCUCGUCCGGAACGAAGACACUGAUGGGUACGUUUGGCUGUUCAAGACCUUCUUGGAGUGCAUGGAUGAACUUGCUCCGAUGAACAUAAUAAUAGACCAAGAUUUCAGCAUGCGUGCAGGCAUAGAGGAGGUCUUUCCGUUGGCAGUGCACAGGCACUGCAGGUGGUACAUUAUAAAGAAGGCUGAGGAGACGCUAGGACCGUUCUUUGCUGACCGUCCAGAGCUACACAAGGCAUUCAAGCUGUGCAUGGACCACAGCUUGACGGUGGAGGAGUUUGAAAGGAGCUGGAUGGCCAUGACUGAAACACAUCAAGUCCAAGACAACGAGACUCUUGUUAGCCUGUGGGAGAAGCGAAUGUACUGGGUGCCGGCCUACUUCAUGCAGUGCUUCUUCCCCUUUCUGCAGACUACGCAGCGCAGCGAGGGGUUCAAUGUUGUUUUGAAGUGGUACGUCAGCCCUGGCAACUCAUUGCUAUAG
rnacentral:rRNA from 1 species